rnacentral:rRNA from 1 species
GACGAACGCUGGCGGCGUGCUUAACACAUGCAAGUCGAACGGGCCUGUCAUCUUCUUUGGGGGCGGGCUGUGUGGCGAACGGGGGAGGAACCCGUGAGUAACCCUCCCUUUGGUCCUGGGAAACCGUCUGAAAAGCCGGCCAAUUCGGGGAUGUCCGGUUGGUCCGCAUGGGUCGGCCGGGAUAGACUCUCUGUCUUUGGCGUAUCGGUGGGUGCUGGGCUCGUGGGCUAUUAGCUUGUGGGUCGGGUGAUGGCCUACCAAGGCGGUGACCGGUGUCCGGGGUGGGAGGGUGGGCAGCCACACUGGGACUGAGAUACCGCCCAGACUCGUGCGGGAGGAGGCGGUGGGGGGUAUUGCACGGUGGGCGGAAGCCUGAUGCAGCGACGUCGCGUGAGGGAGGGAGGCCUUCGGGUUGUGAACCUCUGUUUCCGGUGGUGAAGGCCCUGGCCGUGUGGUGGGGUUGACGGUAGCCGGGGAUGAAGCGCCGGCUAACUACGUG